UGAGCUUUUAAUACGAAAAUAGAAAACCUUGAGAAAAGCAUUCGGGAAUUUUAAACUUGAAUGUCUGUUGUUAAAAAAAAAAUAAUUAAUUGAAAAGGAAAUAAUAUCAAGAAUAUUAGUGGUAAACGAUUGUGUUUAUAAACACGCAAAGAUCGUGUUGGUCUCGGUCGAGAAAACUGAAAAAUCAAUAAUUUUGUAAUACGCUAUUAAGACCUACAAUACCAUCAUUUACGGAGCAGAAACAUGGUCAUUAGGAAAUUUAGAUGA